rnacentral:rRNA from 1 species
UACGGAGGAUGCAAGCGUUAUCCGGAAUGAUUGGGCGUAAAGCGUCCGCAGGUGGCAAUGUAAGUCUGCUGUUAAAGAGUCUAGCUCAACUAGAUAAAAGCAGUGGAAACUACAUAGCUAGAGCACGUUCGGGGCAGAGGGAAUUCCUGGUGUAGCGGUGAAAUGCGUAGAGAUCAGGAAGAACACCAGUGGCGAAGGCGCUCUGCUAGGCCGCAACUGACACUGAGGGACGAAAGCUAGGGGAGCGAAUGGG